CCGAGACGCCGCGCGCACGCCUCGCGUCCACGGGAGAGAGGGGCGCGGUCACCAGGGAGGCCUGGAAACGUGUUUGUGAACAACAGCCCCCAAGAGCGCCCGAGAAGAACCUCUCUGGGCGGCAGCAGAGAAGCAGCUUUCUCUGUAUCUUACUGGCUUAAUUUGUGGUAGAAUUAUAUUUUUUGACUACAUGAUGUCGAGACCCUGAUCCACGUCAAUUUCCUAAAUUUCCUCUGGUGUCCUGUCGUUUUGAGCCCCGUGCUCACAGUCGAGACACAGUUUCCCAUCUACGAGGUGUCACCACCUGCUGAGUGUUCUCAGAACCAGGAACCGGACCCUCACCAGACCACUCAGGCUGCACAGAGAUCCCAACCAACCUCUGCGUUCAAAGCGGAGCCCUGUCCUUUCCCAGGUCAGCGACAUCCUGGGAGCCAGUCACCAUGGCGAGGCCUCCCCGCUUAGCCGGCCUUCGGAGCUCUUCGCCACGUGGCGCGCUUUCCCCUUCCGCUUCCCCUCCAUCCGGCACCGCAGCCCUCUGAACAAUCCUGUGCUUCUGGCCGCCUCCACCUUCUGCCCCUGCGGCGCCUUCUGCCUGGACACCCACCCCUCCGCACUUGCAGGAACCGCGUCCUCUGUGGGUCUCUCAGCCAGAACCAUCUCCUGCUGCCCCCACAGCGCUCAGGGUCUCACCAGUGCCUGCAAAGCCACCUGUGGCCGUCACCUCAAUGUUAGAAAUGAUAGGUGCCCCGGUGAGAAGUCUGCGUGUAUAGACGGCAGCCACUGUGAGCGCCGCGUGCCGGCUUCACCGCACUUCUCCCGCUGUGAGCGCCGCACGUUCUGUAUCACAUACAGCGACUUACUCCCAGGAAAACCUGCUCCCAAGUCCCACCGUGUGGCAGAUUUAGGGAUGGGACAAGUAGGAAGGGAAGGCCUGUCCUUUAAUCAUACAUCUGGCACACUUGAGGUGAGGCCAAAAGGAACAGACAAGCAGAGGAGAGAUUAGAAGCGUGUCCCCAACUGGUUCUCCAUGCGUGCAGGCAGUCUCUAAGAAAAUCAAUAAAAGGACGUUGCAAACUACA
ensembl:lncRNA